rnacentral:rRNA from 1 species
GUGAACAUACCUAAAACGUUGCUUCGGCGGGAACAGACGGCCCUGUAACAACGGGCCGCCCCCGCCAGAGGACCCCUAACUCUGUUUUUAUAAUGUUUUUCUGAGUAAACAAGCAAAUAAAUUAAAACUUUCAACAACGGAUCUCUUGGCUCUGGCAUCGAUGAAGAACGCAGCGAAAUGCGAUAAGUAAUGUGAAUUGCAGAAUUCAGUGAAUCAUCGAAUCUUUGAACGCACAUUGCGCCCGCCAGUAUUCUGGCGGGCAUGCCUGUUCGAGCGUCAUUACAACCCUCAGGCCCCCGGGCCUGGCGUUGGGGAUCGGCGGAAGCCCCCUGUGGGCACACGCCGUCCCUCAAAUACAGUGGCGGUCCCGCCGCAGCUUCCAUUGCGUAGUAGCUAACACCUCGCAACUGGAGAGCGGCGCGGCCAUGCCGUAAAACACCCAACUUCUGAAUGUUGACCUCGAAUCAGGUAGGAAUACCCGCUGAACUUAAGCAUAUCAAA